UACGUAGGGCGCAAGCGUUGUCCGGAAUUAUUGGGCGUAAAGAGCUCGUAGGCGGCCAGUUGCGUCCGCUGUGAAAUCCCGGGGCUUAACCCCGGGCGUGCAGUGGAUACGGGCUGGCUGGAGGCAGGCAGGGGAGAACGGAAUUCCUGGUGUAGCGGUGAAAUGCGCAGAUAUCAGGAGGAACACCGGUGGCGAAGGCGGCCUGCUGGAGCCGGGCCGACGCUGAGGCGCGAGAGCGCGGGGAGCGAACGGG
rnacentral:rRNA from 1 species